GAACCUGCGGAGGGAUCAUUACUGAGUGAGGGCUCACGCCCGACCUCCAACCCUUUGUGAACCAAACUUGUUGCUUCGGGGGCGACCCUGCCGACGACUCCGUCGCCGGGCGCCCCCGGAGGUCUUCUAAACACUGCAUCUUUGCGUCGGAGUUUAAAACAAAUUAAACAAAACUUUCAACAACGGAUCUCUUGGUUCUGGCAUCGAUGAAGAACGCAGCGAAAUGCGAUAAGUAAUGUGAAUUGCAGAAUUCAGUGAAUCAUCGAAUCUUUGAACGCACAUUGCGCCCUUUGGUAUUCCGAAGGGCAUGCCUGUUCGAGCGUCAUUUCACCACUCAAGCCUGGCUUGGUAUUGGGCGUCGCGGUGUUCCGCGCGCCUUAAAGUCUUCCGGCUGAGCUGUCCGUCUCUAAGCGUUGUGGAUUUUUCAAUUCGCUUCGGAGUGCGGGCGGCCGCGGCCGUUAAAUCUUUAUUCAAAGGUUGACCUCGGAUCAGGUAGGGAUACCCGCUGAACUUAAGCAUAUCAAUAAGCGGAGGA
rnacentral:rRNA from 1 species